AGAGUUUGAUCAUGGCUCAGGAUGAACGCUAGCUACAGGCUUAACACAUGCAAGUCGAGGGGCAGCAUGCGGGUUGCUUGCAACCUGCGAUGGCGACCGGCGCACGGGUGAGUAACGCGUAUUCAACCUUCCCCUUACUCGGGCAUAACCCGGCGAAAGCCGGACUAAUUCCCGAUGUUGUCAGAUUGUGGCAUCAUGUUCUGACCGAAGGUGUUUUUCCGGUAAGGGAUGGGGAUGCGUCCGAUUAGCUUGUUGGUAGGGCAACGGCCUACCAAGGCAUCGAUCGGUAGGGGUUCUGAGAGGAAGGUCCCCCACACUGGAACUGAGACACGGUCCAGACUCCUACGGGAGGCAGCAGUGAGGAAUAUUGGUCAAUGGGCGGAAGCCUGAACCAGCCAAGUAGCGUGCAGGAUGACGGCCCUACGGGUUGUAAACUGCUUUUAUGCGGGGAUAAAGCGCGGGUCGUGACCCGUUUUGCAGGUACCGCAUGAAUAAGGACCGGCUAAUUCCGUGCCAGCAGCCGCGGUAAUACGGAAGGUCCGGGCGUUAUCCGGAUUUAUUGGGUUUAAAGGGAGCGUAGGCCGCCGUUCAAGCGUGCCGUGAAAUGCGGUUGCUCAACAUCCGCACUGCGGCGCGAACUGUCCGGCUUGAGUCAACUGUAAGCAGGCGGAAUUCGUGGUGUAGCGGUGAAAUGCUUAGAUAUCACGAGGAACCCCGAUUGCGAAGGCAGCUUGCUGUCGUUGGACUGACGCUGAAGCUCGAAGGUGCGGGUAUCGAACAGGAUUAGAUACCCUGGUAGUCC
rnacentral:rRNA from 1 species